rnacentral:lncRNA from 1 species
AAAGUUAGCAACAACAGUUAAAUGUGGAUCUGGGUUCGAAAGUGGGCUCGAAAGCAAUCCCUAAAACGAUAAGUCAUACAACUCCCAUUUCCAAGUGGCCCCAACGUCCAAGCCCAAAGUAAACCCAAAUCAGGCAAAAGGAUGAAUGCUAAAGGAUAUGGGACUCAAGAUCGAGUCCCUACAGAAACAAGGAAACAUUUGAAGCCAAAGGAAUCCAGCUGAACCCCUUGACUAUGAACUGGCUCGAGUGUUCAAAUACCAUUAAACUAAAUCAAUUUCAACAGAGUAAGCAAGAAAUGUGCAUUAUCUAAUUUAGACGCAAACAUGUAGAAAAUUAAAACACUACAUAAUUAAUGAACCAUAUACCCCUUUGCUUGAACAUUGAAAUUACUGCCAACUGCUAUUGAGUUCAUACAUAGUAAUUUUAACAGUGAAAACUCUAGACAUUAAGCAUACAGUGACCCAAUAGCCCUUGAGUUCAUUCAAUUUUUCUUAAAACAAAACUUAAAUUAUAAACAUCAAAAUCGUUAGUAGAGGUUAACUUGGAACUUAACAUCACUGAGAUUGAACUAAUUCAAUCAAAAUCUAAAAGUAGUGUUACUUAUCCAAAUCGAAUCUACACUAUGAUAGUACAAAUAUCCAAGGACUCAGCAGAAAUAGUUUAAACUAGGCUGAAACCAAAAUAACACAUGAAAGUCCAAUAUAACCCCAAUACAAAUUGUAAUGUCUAUGGCAUGAAUAAAUACAAUGAAUCAAGUAAUAGAACAUAAUUUAAUAUAGAACAAGUAUAAUUUUUCAAUAACACAACUUGAUAUUCAGCUAACUAAAGUUUACAUCUCCCAUCAUGCUUCAGAUUCAAGCUUCACACAUCAAUAAAGUCCAAAGAUGUAUUUGGAUAUCAAAGUAAACCAAAAGAAAAUGAAGAUUUCAGCAGUAGCAGCUGAUCGAAUGAAUCAGCAGGCCAAACACAGCAAGGUUCAAGCUCCCUUAGACCAUUUGUGACCCAGACAACAGAAAUUCUUUAAAAUUUUGGAAAUUCUGACUAACUAUGAAGAUCAAGAGCAAGACCAAAGCAAAUUUCAACCAAAAAAAUACAGAAAAUGUUCAGUAUUUUUAGAGUAUCAAAACUUGCCUGAAAAAUGAAUGAAAGAGGUCCUUAAAUAAGUAGCCUAAGGCAGACCUAGUACAACUAACCAAUUCCCUUUCUACCCUUUCUUUCUUGGUUAUUUUACCCAUUUUAUCCCUUUAAAAAUAUUUGAAACCCUUGCCCUUAACAAACCAGCUCUCAUCUUAUACUCUAGAACCUUCUAUGCUAAUAGAAAAUGAUUCCCUCAAGCCUCAAAUCCCUAAAUUGGCCCUUGACACCCUGUAUUUACCUUCAGAGUGCCAAGUUGGGUCAUGUUAAUCCAAGACCCCAAAUGAACGGGUCUCUUAACUGGGUCAGUGAUGACCAAAGUUAAUACAAGAGACCAAACCAUCACAAAUGAUGAAACAAAGAAGCUCAGAUUCAGAAGAAAAAAAAAAGAUAAACAAUAUUUCAGAACUUUACGAUUAAACCUGACUUAACUACUUAACUAAAAUGAAAUUCACCAUUAAAGAAGACAAGACAAAAUAAUGAAGCAAAUAAAAAAGAAGACCAGGAAAAUGUUGUAAUGAACAGGGUCAUGAGAAAAAAAACGGAAAAGUACCAAUUAUGCCGAAAUGACUUGACCAUUUGAGACGACUCGAUAAGCAGUGAAGGGAGUCGAGGAUUGGUCAUAAUCCAAUGAGUUUGCCAAAAUCUAUCGUACUCGGAAUGAGCUAAAACCAACGCCAAUCGAUUGCUCAUGUUAAGAUCAAUCGACUAAUGUAAGUUAUAGGUCAAAGCAAGCCGGAACUCCCCGCGAAUUUAGAAAAAUAGAAUAACCUAGGGUUUGAACUUCCUAGAUUUGGAAUUAGGGAAAUUGUGAUGGGAUUUUUGGGAAAUAGGUGUUGGGGAUAGGAUUUAGAAGGGCCUGAGGGUGCAUGGUACGAAUUUGGGAUGGUUUGGAGCCGCCGCCGGCGGAUGGCUUGGGAAUUCCAAGGAGGCGGGUUUAGGAUUCAUAAAGAAGCUCUGAGUGAGAAGAUGAAUGAGGGGGCGAUUUGGGGAGGUAGGGUUACUUCCGACAUUUAAAUAUAAGUGAUCUCCCAGUUCUUAGCCGUUCGAUGAGUAAAAAUCAAUAGUUGGGAUAAAAA